rnacentral:misc_RNA from 1 species
AACAUCGCGCACCUGCGGGAACCUGCGGAGGGAUCAUUACCGAGUGAGGGCCCUCCGGGUCCAACCUCCCACCCGUGUUUAACGAACCUUGUUGCUUCGGCGGGCCCGCCUCACGGCCGCCGGGGGGCACCCCGCCCCCGGGCCCGCGCCCGCCGAAGACACCUGUGAACGCUGUCUGAAGUUGCAGUCUGAGACACUAGCUCAAUCAGUUAAAACUUUUAGCAACGGAUCUCAGAUCGG